UAACCUUGCGGCCGUACUCCCCAGGCGGUCUACUUAAUGCGUUAGCUUGAGAGCCCAGUGUUCAAGACACCAAACUCCGAGUAGACAUCGUUUACGGCGUGGACUACCAGGGUAUCUAAUCCUGUUUGCUCCCCACGCUUUCGUGCCUGAGCGUCAGUCUUUGUCCAGGGGGCCGCCUUCGCCACCGGUAUUCCUCCAGAUCUCUACGCAUUUCACCGCUACACCUGGAAUUCUACCCCCCUCUACAAGACUCUAGUUCGCCAGUUCGAAAUGCAAUUCCCAGGUUGAGCCCGGGGCUUUCACAUCUCGCUUAACAAACCGCCUGCGCACGCUUUACGCCCAGUAAUUCCGAUUAACGCUCGGACCCUCCGUAUUACCGCGGCUGCUGGCACGGAGUUAACCGGUCCUUCUUCUGUAGGUAACGUCACAGCAACAGCGUAUUAAGCUGCUACCUUUCCUCCCUACUGAAAGUGCUUUACAACCCGAAGGCCUUCUUCACACACGCGGCAUGGCUGCAUCAGGGUUUCCCCCAUUGUGCAAUAUUCCCCA
rnacentral:rRNA from 1 species